GGAGGAGUGCCCGAGUGGACGAAGGGGUGCGACUGGAAAUCGCAUGUACGGGCUAAAACCCGUACCGCGGGUUCGAAUCCCGCCUCCUCCGCCA
rnacentral:tRNA from 4 species